AGUUUUGACUUAUGAGAAAAAAAAAUAAAAAAAAAUUAGUAUAGAAUGCCUAAAAAACUGCACUGGGUAAAUGUUAUCACCCCAUUAAAUUGUAAUGUAUAUGUAGUUGUGACAAAAGGCCUUUUGUCACUGUUUUUUCACGUGACAAACUACCCUGUUCCCCUGGCUUAUGGAGAAGCCUGAUUGCCAGCCUCCUUCCUCAUGAUUAUGGCCCUGGGGUGUAUGGCCCUUUAAGAACAGUCUAUGGGCAUAUUGAGACUUUUUGUGACAAUGCCCCUUUAAGACAGUGUCCCCAGACUGUUAAACUACUUUGUGCAUGUAAUUUUCCUAUUUGGUUCGGUAAAUGGGGCUUACCGAGCCAAGUACUGCACAGACGGACCACACGCAAGUGGAAGUGUGCAGGCAAUUUACCUCCCAGGCUGACAGUUAACUACAGGUUAAUUGCCGACAGCUGGGUGGCUGCCAUUCAUACAGUCGAACACGUGGCGGUGGCCAUCUUUGUUAGUCGAACGUGGUCAGCGUUGUGUGCCAGCAAAUCCAUGGAACUAAAAUCGGCUACACAUUUGCAUGAACACCGCUGACCCUUACCUUCUCCUCCACUUUGACGUUUUGGUUGAAA